rnacentral:miRNA from 1 species
ACGCAUAUGUUCGCCACCACAGAAACAUAACUAAAUAUAAUGUAUUUAUUGUAUUUUUAUGACAAAACUACGCAAAUAUUUAUUGUUUUUAUUAUAAAUCAUAAAAAUACAAUAAAUUCAAUAUAUUUAGUUAUGUUUCUGUGGUGGCGAACAUAUUCGU